rnacentral:rRNA from 1 species
AUUGAACGCUGGCGGCAGGUCUAACACAUGCAAGUCGAACGAGUGGCGGACGGGUGAGUAAUGUCUGGGAAACUGCCCGAUGGAGGGGGAUAACUACUGGAAACGGUAGCUAAUACCGCGUACCAUCGGAUGUGCCCAGAUGGGGUUGGCUGGUAGGUGAGGUAACGCCUCACCUAGGCGACGAUCCCUAGCUGGUCUGAGAGGAUGACCGGCCAAAUUGGACCGAAGCAAGGGUCCAGACUCUUACGUGAGGAACAGUUGGGGAAUAUUGGACAAGGGGAGAAAGCCGACGGCAGCAAUGCCGCUGAGAUGAGGAAGGCUUUCGGGUUGUAAGGUACUUUCAGCGGGGAGGCGUUACCCGCAGAAGAAGCACCGGCUAACUCCGUGCCAGCAGCCGCGGUAAUUC